AUGAUUGAUAGGAGCAAAAGAAGAAUUUCCAAAAUUGAUUUGGAGAAGCUUCCGUGUUAUGAUUAUGUUGUUAAAGAAAAUACAAGUAACACUUUGGAUUGUGCAAUUUGUUUGGAGAAUUUUACUAUUGGAGAUAAGUGUAGAUUGUUGCCUAUUUGUAAGCAUAGUUUUCAUGCUCAAUGUGUGGAUAAAUGGCUUUUGGAGAAUUCCAUUUGUCCAAUUUGUAGAUCUAGGGUUUGUUCUCAUGGUGCAAAAAAAGUUGAUACAUAUGUAACAAUGGAAGAAGAAGAAGAAUAG